UGAAUUUGCACAACUCAUUUAACUCAAAAUAAAAUUAUAAUUACACAGCACUUUGUAGGACACUCCUAAUUUUUUAUACAAGGAAAGAUUUUGCAAUAAAAAAGUAAAGUUAAAUUGUCGCGAAAUAUAGCAACUUUUUAGAUUUAAAUUAAAAAUGCGUAAUUUUUAAUUUUUUUAGAAAAAUGUGAAACAUAUUGCUAAUAUUAUAGCAUGCCGAAUGUAAUCGAAAUUAUAAUUAUAUCGUAGAAGAAAAAGAGAAAGCAGAGAAAUCGUCGUCGAAAUGUCGGGAUUAGGUAUGGGUAUCAUAGUGGCCUACUUUUCUACCCUCCGAAUUCAUCCUAUUCCAUGUACGUGCGUGUUUGUGUGUGUAUGAGCGCAUGCGCGUGCGUCAAAAACUAGCUAUAAAAACACGGCCUAUGCUUCUUUUCACCAGUCUGUCGCUAUAUCUGAUAGUUUAUUUAUAUCUGUUAUUCAUCGUAACCUGAUCAUUUUUAACCUAGAUUAAAGAAAGAAUGAGAUAAGGAUAUAUAUACUUUUCGCUCAUUGGAUUUUGCCAAGAUCGCCUGAUGGCGCGACUCUUAUUAUAAGGUCUCUAGAUAUAACUGGUUGGGACAAAAGAUCUGCCAGCUAUGAUCUAUUAUAUCUUGAAAUAUACAGACCAAAAAGAUUUAUAGUAUAUCGGCCACUCAAUGGGAACUACUUCAUUAUCCGCUUUUCUAUCAACAAAACCGGAAUACAAUAUAAAAGUAAAAAUAGCUAUUUGUCUUUCUCCAGUUGUUUUUUGGAUAGAAAUAUACGCAAUUGCUGAGGCUUGGCCGACAGUAAAGGAAAUUUUAGAAAAGCAUGAAAUAUACGAUUUUCUCCCACAAUCAUUGACGACUGUUACGUUAGCCAGGACAUUAUGUAAAAAUAAUAUAACUCAUAUUAUUUGAGUCACUAUAUUGUUCCUACUUGCCGGUGCGGAUCCAGCACAACUUAAUACUACAAGCCUGCCACAUUUGUAUUUUAACUUUCAAACUGAUACUUCUGUACAACAAUUUGAUCAUUUAUUAUCAAAGUGUUCGUACAAGUGAGUAUUACACUUUGCAUAUAGCAAUAUUCUCAUUUGUAUAUAAUGUUAAACGAAUGAAACAUUUCUGGCGCGCGCCUGUGUUGUUGUUUAAGAUAAGAUAUUGUUGAGAAAAAUACAUAAAGAACAGGCUUUUGGGCCAUCCGCGUCCAGUCAUCAAUCAUAUACAUAUAAUUUUAUACAUAAUAAUAAUAUAAAAAAAAAAACAAUUUUAGAUUAUCAAUCAAUUGUAGCCGAAAGUAGUUCUGUACUGUUCAUCCUGGAUGUCUUUGUUUUGUAAUCGCUUAUAUGAUGUUUUUACGCCUUUAAUUAUCUAAAGAUUUUUUAUUAUACAGUUGAACAUGACUCGUUGAAUUUUUACUUUUAUAUUUUAUCUUCUCCUAAAGAUUUUUUUUGCAUCCGAAGCAUUUUUUUGUGAUAAUGGCGGUACAAAAAUGUUAAAUAGUUUUAAUAUUGGUGGAGAACGAUCAAUAUUUUAUAGAUUUUGAUAUCAAAUUAAUACAGGCUAAGUCUUUUUGUGAGCAUGUAAUCUAGAAUGAACAAUACAGAAUAGAACUCAGUCGUGAUAUAGAAACUGAUAAUCUCGUUAAUUAUGAUAUCGAUAUUGUUAAUCCAAUACUUUUAAAAACUUGAAUACAAUCCAGAUGUGUUAAUAAAACGCGAUAUCAUGUCUACAUUAUAGCAGAACAUAAUAGUAAAGAAAAAGAUGCUAUUAAAGAAUAUUACUGCAAUAAAUCAUAUAAGCCUAGAUAAUUUACUUUCGGCGGAGCUUCGAAGAUCUAUAUCUAUUUUUUUUAAACGUUUACCAUCAUUAUCUAUAAAAUUUUAUAUGAUAGACUAAAUGCAAACGACUUAAAAUGAGGGAAGUUCUUUAUAAUUAUCAGUAAAAUCAGUAAAUUAUAUGCAUGCGUACAUAUUGGGAUAAGUAUUUGUUGAUUUACGAUAGACAUCGAUUGUUGCAGAGGAUUUUUUAAAUUAUGAUUAUGAAACAAAUGAAAAUUAUAAGCGGUAUAAACAGGUAAUGCCCCCAACGUAUGAUCUUAAAAAGGUUACUGCUCCAAUCGUUUUACUUUUUGCAGAAAAGGAUACGAUUCUUAGAACAGAGGU